GGAUUAGAUACCCUGGUAGUCCAUGCCGUAAACGGUGGGCGCUAGGUGUGAGGGUCUUUUCACGACUUUCGUGCCGUAGCUAACGCAUUAAGCGCCCCGCCUGGGGAGUACGGCCGCAAGGCUAAAACUCAAAGGAAUUGACGGGGGCCCGCACAAGCGGCGGAGCAUGUGGAUUAAUUCGAUGCAACGCGAAGAACCUUACCUGGGCUUGACAUACACCGGACCGCUGCAGAGAUGUAGUUUCCCUUUGUGGCUGGUGUACAGGUGGUGCAUGGUUGUCGUCAGCUCGUGCCG
rnacentral:rRNA from 1 species